UGUUUUUCUACGGGUGAAAGACUGACUACUGGAGAGAGUGUAGAUCGAACGCAUGUGCACAUGUACAUGGGGGUCGUCCACAAUGCAGGUCGAUUGAUCACUGAUAACUUCCUGGACUGAGCAUACAAACACACGGAGGUUUCGACUCGCGCUGUUCUAUCACUGUGCAAGCAACGCCAACGAUGAGAGUUGACGGGCUGUGGUGCAUUGUUUUUUGUUCAACCCACCACCUGUCGUGUCUGAUCACAUCUGGUCGCUGGACCCAAGCAGCGGAUUGACUGCAGGGCUUGACUCCGGCUGACUUUAAAAACUGAAGUCGCUCAAGCCAUGACAGCAUCAGUGUGCAUGAUCACAGCGACUGAGACCCUUGAUUCCCCAUUUAUUUAAAAAGUAUUAAUUCUUCCCGGGAGGGCCAAAUCUGGUGCAUGCAACAAUAUGUAGGUUGCAAAAGUAAUGUUUUGAUUAGAGAGGCGAUCGAGGCGUACUUUAAGGCAUUGGUGGAUUCGGGGGAGGGGAACGGUGGUCACGCCCCCAGAGGCGCAUUUAUUGUUUUUUAAGUCACAAAAUUUAGAAUCACUCCUCAAAAAAAGUCAUAAAAGAUUACAUAAAGAUGCUACAAAUUUUGUUGGCCCCUCAAAUCAAUUUUUCCCCCUCCUUCGAAGAUUUGGUUCUUGAUCCACCUUUGUAUGGAAAAGAAAGCUUGCAGGCUUAAGCCUCAAAAUUUCAUAACAUUUAUACCAGAAAUUAUGAGAGUUCGUUUGAGUUUUCAUACUUCCAAUCAAUUCACCCCCCCCCCCCAAAAAUAAAAUAAAAA